GGGCCAUUAGCUCAGUUGGUUAGAGCAUCCGGCUCAUAACCGGACGGUCCUGGGUUCGAGUCCCCGAUGGCCCACCA
rnacentral:tRNA from 2 species